rnacentral:rRNA from 1 species
GGCUAGCGUUGUUCGGAAUCACUGGGCGGAAAGCGCACGUAGGCGGAUUUUUAAGUCAGGGGUGAAAUCCCGAGGCUCAACCUCGGAACUGCCUUUGAUACUGGAGAUCUUGAGUCCGGAAGAGGUAAGUGGAACUGCGAGUGUAGAGGUGAAAUUCGUAGAUAUUCGCAAGAACACCAGUGGCGAAGGCGGCUUACUGGUCCGGAACUGACGCUGAGGUGCGAAAGCGUGGGGAGCAAACAGG